rnacentral:tRNA from 1 species
GGCCGGGCUGGCCCGGCGGCGCGGCGGUCGGCAAGACCGCGGUCAGCUCGUCGAUGAUCGACCGGGUCACCGCCGACCUCGGGCGC